GGUUAAGUCAGGCAACGAGCAAGCCCCGUGCCCACAGUUGCCAGCAUACCCUCCGGGGUGAUGGGCACACUGUGGGGACCGCCGCUGCUAAAGCGGAGGAAGGUGCGGGCUACGGUAGGUCAGUAUGCCCCGAAUCAUCCGGGCUACACGCGGGCUACAAUGGCUGGGACAAUGGGCACCUACACCGAGAGGUGAUGGUAAUCUCCUAAACCCAGCCUUAGUUCGGAUUGAGGGCUGCAACUCGCCCUCAUGAAGCCGGAAUCCGUAGUAAUCGCGUAUCAAUAUCACGCGGUGAAUACGUCCCUGCUCCUUGCA
rnacentral:rRNA from 1 species